rnacentral:rRNA from 1 species
AACGAACGCUGGCGGCAUGCCUAACACAUGCAAGUCGAACGAGACCUUCGGGUCUAGUGGCGCACGGGUGCGUAACGCGUGGGAACCUGCCCUUAGGUUCGGAAUAACUCCCCGAAAGGGGUGCUAAUACCGGAUAAUGUCUUCGGACCAAAGAUUUAUCGCCUUUGGAUGGGCCCGCGUUGGAUUAGCUAGUUGGUAGGGUAAAAGCCUACCAAGGCGACGAUCCAUAGCUGGUCUGAGAGGAUGAUCAGCCACACUGGGACUGAGACACGGCCCAGACUCCUACGGGAGGCAGCAGUGGGGAAUAUGGGACAAUGGGCGAAGGCCUAAGCCAGCAAUGCCGCGUGAGUGAUGAAGGCCUUAGGGUUGUAAAUCUCUUUUACCCGGGAUGAUAAGGACAGUACCGGAAGAAUAAGCUCCGGCUAACUCCGU